rnacentral:rRNA from 1 species
GGUUGAUCCUGCCAGUAGUCAUAUGCUUGUCUCAAAGAUUAAGCCAUGCAUGUCUAAGUAUAAACACGUUUGUACGGUGAAACUGCGAAAGGCUCAUUAAAUCAGUUAUAGUUUAUUUGAUAGUACCUUACUACUUGGAUAACCGUGGUAAUUCUAGAGCUAAUACAUGCGCAAAAACCCGACUUCAGGAAGGGUUGUAUUUAUUAGAUAAAAAGCCAACCCGGGCAACCGGAUGCGUGGUGAUUCAUAGUAACUUGUCGAAUCGCAGGGCCUUGCGCCGGCGAUGGUUCAUU